rnacentral:piRNA from 1 species
UAAACCUUUGAAGCAUUCUCCAUUCUU